rnacentral:lncRNA from 1 species
UGAGAAGCACCUUUUGGAAAAUCCUGUGCCAACCAGAAGUGGACCAAACUGUGCACAGGUCAGUGUCAUGUCUUCACCAAGCAGCUAAGAGCACCUGACACCUUAGUGGUGGUCAGGUAGUAUUGUUGGCAAAAGGCAAGGAGAAGCACCAUUUUAGGUCAUAGCAACAGGGCUGUUUCAUUGUCUUUUUAUUUAAAAGUUUGCCAGUUGGGGUCAAAUAGGAAAACCCUGCAGUUCUCUGUGGAGAGGGAGAAAUAAUACUCUCCUCCUCUCUCACCUCUUCCUCCAACCCAAACCCAGCUGCAAAUCCAUUUAUUCGGUGAAGACGGAUGCUUCAACCCUGGGUCACAGGUCACCCUGGCAGUGGUGAGGGCAGAGCAGAGGUAGGUAACCCUCGGUAGGUGACCCUCGGGGCUCCUUGGCCGGCAGAGGGCACUGGGGCAUCUUCCCCAGGCCCCUGGGACUCAGCUGUGCUUCAAGUCACACACAGAGCCUGGAUUCAGGCCCUGAAGACCAGGGAGUGGUUGACCCUUUCCUGGUAAAAUUACUUUGGGAAAUUUCACUUUAAAAAUAAAAAAGGCACAGCUAGCUCUUUUGUCAAGCCUGAAACUAAGUGUACCUCACAACAGAUGAACGCCACUUGGCACCCUUUCUAGGAAGACAUCAGUAUUAUCCACAUUAAAUGUCACGAUGCUUUCUGCACUGAAUGAAAAAAAAAGUAUCUUCAUAGCUCUCUCUUAAAUACUGUGAUUUCUGUUUGUUUUGUUUUAACACUCUGAUACAAUUCAUUGACUAGCUUGUGACAAUGUGUCUAAUCACCAGCACCUAGACUCUUCUAAGUCAGGGUUCAGUACAGCGUAUGUUCAGAGCUGGACACAGCGAGCGAGCCAGCGAGGGGAAGCCCAAAUAGACAGCUGCCCAGGGGUGUGCACCCCUUACCUGUCACUGCCCCUGAGCUGUGCGCACGAUCUCCUCCCAAGGUGUGAAUCUGCUCUGUUAGUCACUUUGGAAAAAAAAAAACCAAAAAACAAGUGCGAGUCAAUCUGUUUAUAUCUCUCUCUGCCAGCUUGGUUUUCCUGAACCCUGGCUGGAAAUACCAACCUUACAUCAGUGUUUCUAUCGAGGCUACAGAGUAGGCCUGUUGGAUUAAUAGCUCUCCACUGAAAAUUGUUAGCUAUGAAUUAUUACCAAAGAACUGUGGCGAUCUGAGCUGUUCCAUUGAGUCUCCGUGUCAUUUCCCAUGUCCUGGCCACAUUUCUUCUUGGCAAUGUCUUCCUAACUCCCUACAAGGUAUACAACGGCACCAUCACAUUGGAACCCUAGGGGAGAGGGUCUGACAGACACACAGGAGGACAAGCACAUUUCCAAAGCAAGGUCUGAGACCUGCUUCCUGCCACCUACUCACUAAUGUCCUUGGUGCCAUCCUCUCAGACCUGGGAGCUUGCAGCCCUUCACCCCUGUGAUACUAACAGGCCUGAAUAAGACUUGUCGAGCCGGUACCAGCAUCCUCACACACACACCCCAACCCCCAGCUUGUUGUAGAUACAGGGCUCGCCAGGACAUCAGGAAUCAGGGUGAACACAGAAGGGCAAAUAGAAUUUUCUAGUCACAUGAGCUGAUUGGUUCCGGGCAAUUAGAAAAUGGCUAUAACUUAAUCUUAAUUUAAAAAAAAAAUCGAGUCUUCGUUUUCUCCGUAGGAGACCGAACUGACUGUAUGCAUUGAUUUAUAUCCUGAAUUUAUGGGAACCUGUAUGUUUGGAACAUCCUACUGUAAGCUGAGGAAUGUAAAGAGUUAAUUUCAGGGUACAGUUUUGCCUUAAUGGUUUUAAAAAUAAAUAAACUAUUUUUAAAAAUUAA